rnacentral:rRNA from 1 species
GAUUAUGGCUCAGGAUGAACGCUAGCUACAGGCUUAACACAUGCAAGUCGAGGGGCAGCAUGAUCUUAGCUUGCUAAGAUGAUGGCGACCGGCGCACGGGUGAGUAACGCGUAUCCAACCUUCCCCUUAGUAGGGCAUAGCCCGUAGAAAUGCGGAUUAAUACCCUAUGUUGUAUAUUGAGGACAUCUGAUUUAUACCAAAGGUUCACCGCUAAGGGAUGGGGAUGCGUCUGAUUAGGUUGUUGGCGGGGUAACGGCCCACCAAGCCUACGAUCAGUAGGGGUUCUGAGAGGAAGGUCCCCCACAUUGGAACUGAGACACGGUCCAAACUCCUACGGGAGGCAGCAGUGAGGAAUAUUGGUCAAUGGACGAGAGUCUGAACCAGACCCAAGUAGCGUGCAGGAUGACCGGCCCUAUGGGUUGUAAACUGUCUUUUAUACGGGGAUAAAGUGACCCACGUGUGGGUUUUUGUAGGUACCGUAUGAAUAAGGACCGGCUAAUUCCGUGCCAGCCGCGGC